AUUGAACGCUGGCGGCAGGCUUAACACAUGCAAGUCGAGCGGAGAUGAGGUGCUUGCACCUUAUCUUAGCGGCGGACGGGUGAGUAAUGCUUAGGAAUCUGCCUAUUAGUGGGGGACAACAUUCCGAAAGGAAUGCUAAUACCGCAUACGUCCUACGGGAGAAAGCAGGGGAUCUUCGGACCUUGCGCUAAUAGAUGAGCCUAAGUCGGAUUAGCUAGUUGGUGGGGUAAAGGCCUACCAAGGCGACGAUCUGUAGCGGGUCUGAGAGGAUGAGACGCAAAACUGGGACUGAGACACGGCCCAGACUCCUACGGGAGGCAGCAGUGGGGAAUAUUGGACAAUGGGGGGAACCCUGAUCCAGCCAUGCCGCGUGUGUGAAGAAGGCCUUAUGGUUGUAAAGCACUUUAAGCGAGGAGGAGGCUACUGAGACUAAUACUCUUGGAUAGUGGACGUUACCCGCAGAAUAAGCACCGGCUAACUCUGUGCCAGCCGCCGCCGUAA
rnacentral:rRNA from 1 species